rnacentral:rRNA from 1 species
GAUGAACGCUGGCGGCGUGCUUAACACAUGCAAGUCGAACGAGAAGUGAAGACGGAAACCUUCGGGCGGAAGGCUUUAUUUCGAGUGGCGGACGGGUGAGUAACGCGUGGGUAACCUGCCUCAUACAGGGGGAUAACAGUUGGAAACGACUGUUAAUACCGCAUAAGACCACAGCACCGCAUGGUGCGGGGGUAAAAACUCCGGUGGUAUGAGAUGGACCCGCGUUCGAUUAGCCAGUUGGCGGGGUAACGGCCCACCAAAGCGACGAUCGAUAGCCGAUCUGAGAGGAUGACCGGCAACAUUGGGACUGAGACACGGCCCAAACUCCUACGGGAGGCAGCAGUGGGGAAUAUUGCACAAUGGGGGAAACACUGAUGCAGCGACGCCGCGUGAGUGAAGAAGUAUUUCGGUAUGUAAAGCUCUAUCAGCAGGGAAGAAAAUGACGGUACCUGAGUAAGAAGCCCCGGAUAACUAAGUG